GCCUUCGUGGUGAUGUGGUAGCAUGCGCUUCAAGUAUAGGUGAAACGCGGGUUCAAGUCCCGCCCGAGGUCG